GGGGCUGUAGCUCAGUGGGAGAGCACUUGCCUGGCAGGCAAGGGGUCAGGGGUUCGACCCCCCUCAGCUCCACCA
rnacentral:tRNA from 1 species